CCUAGAGAUAUGUUCAGGUAACUUUUAGAUAUUCUUAGUUUUUAAACACUUGUUUAAUUAACUGACCAAAUAGAUGGAGAUCAAAUCUUUUUCAGCCAUUGUUGAAAAGUAACCAAACUAUAUUCUUACAGACUAUUUUGUUAGGUCAGUUCCAGCUAGUUGACAAAUUUGAAAAUUAUAUUUCUCUGAUAAGCUGUAAUUGGGAUAGUAUUUUUAUUCAACUAAAGAUUUACUCACCUAAAAAUGUUUUUGUUUUUAAAUGUCUCAUCUUAUCUAUUUAGAUCCU
rnacentral:lncRNA from 1 species